rnacentral:lncRNA from 1 species
CUUUUUUUUCCGUUCUUGUUCGUUGAGGGGGCAAACUUUCGCAAUCGUUAUUACCGCUAACCCCCAUUUGCAAAGUUUUGAACUAUUUAUCGCUAAGUUUUUAAUCUAUUUUCGCGUAACCGCCCGUGGAAGUUGAACCCUAACCUCACUGCGCCCUCAUCGUGUCAGACAUUUUAUGUUACUUAUGGAUUUGUAAAUUUAUAGGAACCUGUAAAUCAUUCUAGUUGAAAAUAAUUUUAUUGUAGACUUUAGUACAUAAUGAAUGAAGUAGAAGACGGUCGCGUCUACAGUCUAGUAGUGUUCACGUCCAAGAAAGGAGAAGAAAUAGUCAGCACCGUCCCAGCAACGUGGGUUGACGAGGAAAGAGAUGAAUGCAUCUGGCCGAAACAGUCUUCAACAAAACUUAUUGAAACUUGCUGCCCACCCCCGAAAAACCACGGCUGGAAGAGUUAUCCUGUUACCGUGGUGCGCAGUAACAUUGAAGGUUUUGGUAAAGCCAGAACUGUCGAGCGGAAUUACAUCAAUGAGAAAGAUACGAAUCUCAGCGAAAGUUCGCCACUCCCUGAAAGGCGAGCUAAAAUACCUAAGACAGUUUACUCCCCUACCUUGUCAACUGCCGGUGCGGAUGAUACUGAAUCGGAUAACUCACCAUCUAAGAGUUAUUACCUAAGAGAUAGUCGAAGCCCUCUCUCCAAGACAAAGAAAUCCUCUGUUCUUAAUCUUUCUUUUGAAGGAGAUUCAUCGGUUUUUCCAAUGAGCUCAACAAGUUCUCCAGAUAAAUCAAAGAAGCAGCCGUCCCCAGUGAUUAAGUAUCCGACACCUCCAUCUUUGGCACACAGUGUAAAGUCACCUUGCCAUCAGCAAAAUCGGGCAUUGCGGAAAUUAUUCCAAAACAAACAUCUAGAAACUUUAGAUGAAGGAAACCGUAUUUGUGAUGAAGAUCCUAUGUUUCAGAAACGUUCAAACAGUAAGAAAGAUGCAGUACAUACUGUACAGAGAGAAAAACGAUCUAAACCGAAACAACAGUCACAUGUCCUCCCACCGAGUCCGUUAAAUCUGAACCAGAGAUGUUCAUCAAAUCUUGAAAAUUCUACGCCGAAGGAAGAUGUUAAUUGUGGACCUGAUGUCUCAGAAGAAAAUGUUUCUUCGAAUUCUGAAAUUCCUUUGCAAGAAGGGAGCUCUAAUGAUGGUACUUCAUCCAGUAACUCCACAGCGAAGUGCCGAGUUCCUCAAUUCAAAGCCUAUUGGGAUAAAUUGGAUGACAAGGAGCAACUUUAUUUCAUUGGUGGUUGUUGAGCUGCUGAGAAAAGUUGUUAAAGACGAUCUACCGGAAAUAGCACGAGGAAUGGCCAGGUUCUUGUAUACUGAUGAGUUCGCCUGCAAUUACUCAUUGUACGGUUUCAAAAACAAACAAAAUUUUUCAUCCCUCAAACUCACCCAACUACUGUUCAGUAAGUAUUCCCUGGUUUCUUCACAUCUUUAAUGAUUAUCAUAAUUUUUCAACCCCACCAAACUGAAGAGGAUGCCAAUUGUACUCCCAGAUUUUUGUAGUCCAAAGGAAAUUGUAAAGAGUAUUAAAGAAGACACCGAAUUAUCCGAUUUUACAGAGAAAAUAGAAAAGAUCUUUAGCCACCUGGCAGGAUCAUAAGUGUGCAAACGUUGAGAGAUGUUAAUAUUCUUGGGAUUGGAUGUCAUUGGCUAUUUGACCUGAAAAGUAACUUCCUCAGUGUCCCUACCUAAACACAUCUUAUAGUUAGAACCUCCACUUGUUAAGCUCUUUUUGUAAUGCUAUGAUAAGUUUACAAAAUAAAUACAAUUAGGACUGCACGCAAACUUGGUGAAAAUACUUUUAAAUAUAUAAAAAUUACUCACAUGCACGAAAAUUAAAAACCGCAGAAGCGUUUCAACCGUUCAAGACAGCC